rnacentral:tRNA from 1 species
GAGGGCUUAGUUAAUUUAUAACAUUAGACUGUCAAGCUAAAAUUAUCAAAAAGAUAUCCCUCU